GGUGAGGAAUGAUGCUCCCUACUUUACUGUGCGUGAUUGCUAAAGAGAUGGACCAAUUCUGGGCUAAGGAGGGGCCAUGGGUAUUGUCCCUCCCCGACGACAGGAUUGAUCGAAUUCCGGACCAAUCCCAAGCCAGGACUCAAAAGCUGUUCAACAAAUAACCAGAUAAACAACAGACAAUGAAUCACGUGGGAUUUUACAAGUCUGUGCUAUGAUUUUCAUCACGGUCAAAGUGCAAGCAAUUCUGCUUCCAGCAAAAAAAACGAUACUGUAUCUACAUUAACAGACCACCAUUGGCAAAUACAGAUUCUACUGUUUCCUGAUUUGAUGCAGUGGAUGUAUUCACAGCAUCGGCAAUAAGGUGUGUCAACAUGGAAUCUAGAAAUCUGAAACUUGUGGCCUAGUGGGAUCUGGUGAAGCCCAGAUUUACGGAGGAGCUUGUACGUUGAAGACCCCAAAGCUUGUACUUCUUCCCUGUUCCCAUGGGAAUCCUCCCUGAGGGAAUCCGAGGUGAGCAGUUUCAGACUGAAGAGGGACCCUCGGGAGAAUGACAAUCGUAGUUAGAUAGUCUCCCCAAUUUUAUCAAGAGACCCUUUCCCAAGAAGAUCCACACCUGGCGAGGACUAUUCUUCAGUAUCCACUAUAAGCACCCCACUCUCUUAGACCCUAGCCUUUUGCUAGCAUUCCUUUCGUAUGCUUGAUUGUAUGCAGUCAGGGAAUUCCUUUUAGCUAUAGCAAUGUCACUCAUCUUUCCAUGCUCCUAGAUUUCCCCCAUGUGGUAGAGAGGAUCCCCAAAUACUUUUCCUCCUUGUAAAGGAGAUCUGAGUUGGAAAUUGCCCAAGCCUUGAGAUAUUCAGUCAAGGGAAAUGCUAAGCCACAGACAGAUAAAUCUUUGGGACCUGUCCAAGGUCCCAACUACUAACAGAUAAACUUCAAAACGAAGGUCCCAGGUGCAAAAAAACUCGGAAACUUUCCAACAAGAGCAUGCAACAGAUAAUGGCCUGGAAUGAGGAAGGGAGGGGGGUUAUUCAUGCUGAAAAGUAUUUAAGACUGAAUCUUCAGGAGGGAACUCAGAACUCUUUUGGCUGAGUUCCCACUAGUGCGCAUUAGUUCAAUAAACGGCCCUUUCUUUGCCUGAUUGCGUUGUCC
rnacentral:lncRNA from 1 species